rnacentral:rRNA from 1 species
UACGUACCGUCCAAACGUUAUUCGGAAUUACUGGGCGUAAAGCGCGCGUAGGCGGCUUUGCAAGUCGGGUGUGAAAUCCCCAGGCUUAACCUGGGAACUGCAUUCGAGACUGCAUUGCUAGAGUAUGGGAGAGGGAAGUGGAAUUUCCGGUGUAGCGGUGAAAUGCGUAGAUAUCGGAAGGAACAUCAGUGGCGAAAGCGACUUCCUGGACCAAUACUGACGCUCAUGUGCGAAAGCGUGGGGAGCAAACAGG